GACGAACGCUGGCGGCGUGCCUAAUACAUGCAAGUAGAACGCAGUUUCUAACGUGUGAUUAACGCGUAGUUAACUGCCUGGUAGCGGGUUAUAACUAUUGGAAACGAUACCUAAUACCGCAUACUACCAGAUGGACCUGCGUUGUAUUAGCUAGUUGGUGAGGUAACGGCUCACCAAGGCAACGAUACAUAGCCGACGUGGGAGGGUGGUCGGCCACACUGGGACUUGGACACGGCCCAGACUCCUACGGGAGGCAGCAGUAGGGAAUCUUCGGCAAUGGGGGGAACCCUGACCGAGCAACGCCGCGUGAGUGAAGAAGGUUUUCGGAUCGUAAAGCUCUGUUGUUAAGGAAGCGGUACUUAAAGAGAAAGGGACGGCUAACUACGUGCCAGCAGCCGCGGUAAUUG
rnacentral:rRNA from 1 species